rnacentral:rRNA from 1 species
UGUGCCAGCAGCCGCGGUAAUACAGAGGGUGCAAGCGUUAAUCGGAAUUACUGGGCGUAAAGCGAGCGUAGGUGGCUUGAUAAGUCAGAUGUGAAAGCCCCGGGCUUAACCUGGGAACGGCAUCUGAUACUGUUAGGCUAGAGUAGGUGAGAGGAAGGUAGAAUUCCAGGUGUAGCGGUGAAAUGCGUAGAGAUCUGGAGGAAUACCGAUGGCGAAGGCAGCCUUCUGGCAUCAUACUGACACUGAGGUUCGAAAGCGUGGGUAGCAAACAGGAUUAGAUAGCUUGGUAGUCCACGCCGUAAACGAUGUCUACUAGUCGUUGGGUCCCUUGAGGACUUAGUGACGCAGCUAACGCAAUAAGUAGACCGCCUGGGGAGUACGGCCGCAAGGUUAAAACUCAAAUGAAUUGACGGGGGCCCGCACAAGCGGUGGAGCAUGUGGUUUAAUUCGAUGCAACGCGAAGAACCUUACCUGGUCUUGACAUAUCUAGAAUCCUGCAGAGAUGCGGGAGUGCCUUCGGGAAUUAGAAUACAGGUGCUGCAUGGCUGUCGUCAGCUCGUGUCGUGAGAUGUUGGGUUAAGUCCCGCAACGAGCGCAACCCUUGUCCUUAGUUACCAGCGGUUUGGCCGGGAACUCUAAGGAUACUGCCAGUGACAAACUGGAGGAAGGCGGGGACGACGUCAAGUCAUCAUGGCCCUUACGACCAGGGCUACACACGUGCUACAAUGGUAGGUACAGAGGGCAGCUACACAGCGAUGUGAUGCGAAUCUCAAAAAGCCUAUCGUAGUCCAGAUUGGAGUCUGCAACUCGACUCCAUGAAGUAGGAAUCGCUAGUAAUCGCGGAUCAGAAUGCCGCGGUGAAUACGUUCCCGGGCCUUGUACACACCGCCCGUCACACCAUGGGAGUUGAUUGCACCAGAAGUGGUUAGCCUAACCUUUUAGGAAGGCGAUCACCACGGUGUGGUUGAUGACUGGGGUGAAGUCGUAACAAGGUAACCG